GUGAGUCAUCGAAUCUUUGAACGCACAUUGCGCCCGCCAGUACUCUGGCGGGCAUGCCUGUCCGAGCGUCAUUUCAACCCUCGAGCCCCCAGCUGGCUCGGUGUUGGGGACCGGCCCCGGCCGCCCCCGAAAUGCAGUGGCGACCUCGCCGCAGCCUCCCCUGCGUAGUAGCACAACCUCGCACCGGAGCGCGGAGACGGUCACGCCGUUAAACGCCCAACUUCUCAAGAGUUGACCUCGGAUCAGGUAGGAAUACCCGCUGAACUUAAGCAUAUCAAUAAGCGGAGGA
rnacentral:misc_RNA from 1 species